AACGAACGCUGGCGGCAGGCCUAAUACAUGCAAGUCGAACGGGCGUAGCAAUACGUCAGUGGCGGACGGGUGAGUAACACGUGGGAACAUGCCUUUCGGUUCGGAAUAACGCAGGGAAACUUGCGCUAAUACCGGAUGACCCGGCGACGGAAAAGAUUUAUCGCCGAAAGGUUGGCCCGCGUAGGAUUAGCUAGUUGGUGAGGUAACGGCCCACCAAGGCGACGAUCCUUAGCUGGUUUGAGAGAACGAUCAGCCACACUGGGACUGAGACACGGCCCAGACUCCUACGGGAGGCAGCAGUAGGGAAUCUUGGAC
rnacentral:rRNA from 1 species